AGAUUGAACGCUGGCGGCGUGCUUAACACAUGCAAGUCGAGCGGAAAGGCUCCUUCGGGGGUACUCGAGCGGCGAACGGGUGAGUAACACGUGAGUAAUCUGCCCUCCACUCUGGGAUAACGUUCAGAAAUGGGUGCUAAUACCGGAUGUACACAGGCUGACGCAUGUUGGUGUGUGGAAAGUUUUUUCGGUGGGGGAUGUGCUCGCGGCCUAUCAGCUUGUUGGUGGGGUAAUGGCCUACCAAGGCGACGACGGGUA
rnacentral:rRNA from 1 species